rnacentral:lncRNA from 1 species
GACGAAGUUUUAAUGCAACUAAAGAACACAGUUCAUCGAAUCCACUGAUUCAACAAGAGUCACAGAUCACGCGAUAAAGACACCAUCUAUGGAAAAAUUCUGAAUCAGAAACCAAGAAAUGAGGGAACCAAUCCGAUAAGCCCGAAGCAGAGAAAUCCCAUGAGGAGAGAAAACAAAGAUCCGACCUUUACGGCAGGAAAUCCAGCACACAAGGAGGCAUUUGUAAUCCAUCGUCCGGCAAGCUAUUUCGAGCAAAUUUAGCCGAACAGGUUUAAGCCCAAACCCAGUCCCCAAAGUGUAAGCGUUUGCAAUAAAAUAAUCGAAAUCUUCGCAUCCAUCAAUUCCAUAAAAAUCACAACAUAUCUAGGCAUAAAGUUGCCAUCUUGAACAGAUGGUUCGGAGGGAGACAGCCCACCAGUCCACUGGGGAAAUCGGAUCGAAACAAAGGCAAAGAUCUAAC